UUGUACCAAAACACAAAAUAAUCUUUAAAAAAACACAUUUAUAAACAUAUUUCAUAACUUAAAAUGGUAACGUAUAUCUAAGAACCCUCCCAACACUCCUAAAUUUUUUAGCUGCUCUGAGUUUUGGGUGAUUUACACAUCCCACAUCGAUGUAGCAGCCACCAGGCGAAACUUAAGAAGCUCCUAGCCCCCGGACGAAUACAACACAUCUUAUGCAUGGGAAAUUUAAGUACCAAAGAAUAGUACGAUUAUUUGAAAUCAAUUUAAAUUAUCCCGAACAAAAAGUGGUUACGGUGGAGCAAUUCCGAAUUGGAUUAACACGGUCAUCAAGUUGUACCGUGGGGCGAUCCAGACUCUUUAUUACUCAUUAUUUAAAUAAAAUCAAUUUAUAAUAA